rnacentral:rRNA from 1 species
AACGAACGCUGGCGGCAGGCUUAACACAUGCAAGUCGAACGCAUCCUUCGGGGUGAGUGGCAGACGGGUGAGUAACGCAUGGGAACGUGCCCUUCAGUUCGGGAUAACCCAGGGAAACUUGGGCUAAUACCGGAUACGUGCGAGAGCAGAAAGAUUUAUCGCUGAAGGAUCGGCCCGCGUCUGAUUAGCUAGUUGGUGGGGUAAUGGCCCACCAAGGCGACGAUCAGUAGCUGGUCUGAGAGGAUGAUCAGCCUCAUUGGGACUGAGACACGGCCCAAACUCCUGCGGGAGGCAGCAGUGGGGAAUAUUGGACAAUGGGCGCAAGCCUGAUCCAGCCAUGCCGCGUGAGUGAUGAAGGCCUUAGGGUUGUAAAGCUCUUUCGUCCGGGACGAUAAUGACGGUACCGGAAGAAGAAGCCCCGGCUAACUUCGUGCCAGCCGCCGCCGUAACAC